rnacentral:rRNA from 1 species
AUGGUUUUUGAAGACGAGAGCAGCGAUGACAACUCAAGCCUCCCGUACAUGCACUCGGAAACCUCCACCGAUGGGCUCAACCAAGAAGUUCAGAAUUGUGGGUUUGUUCAAUGGGUUGAUGAGCAGUGGCCCCCAACAAUGGAGAAUGCAUUGCUGAAGCUUUGGUCAAUGGUUGAAGAGAGCAAGUCUGCUAGGGUGAAUGAUAAUCUUCAAAGUGCUUUAACUAUUCACCAUUUGACAGAAGAAAAGAAGAAGCUGGAUGCAGAUUAUGACAAGUUAGUGAAAGAUGUGCAUCAACUUGUGGACUUUCAGCAGGAAAGGGUUGUGGAUUUUAGUUAUCUACAGUCAGCUGUCACAUAUUAG